rnacentral:rRNA from 1 species
UACGUAGGGUGCGAGCGUUAAUCGGAAUUACUGGGCGUAAAGGGUGCGCAGGCGGUUAUAUAAGACAGAUGUGAAAUCCCCGGGCUCAACCUGGGAACUGCGUUUGUGACUGUAUGACUAGAGUACGGUAGAGAGGGGUGGAAUUCCUGGUGUAGCAGUGAAAUGCGUAGAGAUCGGGAAGAACACCAGUGGCGAAGGCGGCCGGCUGGGGGCGGCCCUGACGC